GUGAAGUUUUAUUCUUGCUUUUUCGUUCAUUUUAUGUUUGUUCUAUAUGUAAGUUUGUGCGUGAAUAUUUGUCUGAAUUUUAAAUAGGUUCAGGGUGGUUAAAUAUUUUAGUUUAGUUCUCAUUAGUUGUUAUUGGUUAAUUAAGUUUCCUUAUAUUUAGCAAUACAUUUAGUUUCGGUUAAAUUUUGUGCCAGCAGCCGCGGUUAUACCUUGGAGGCAUUUGAAUGUGUUUGGCAUAGGUAGUUGUAUUAUUUAUUGGUGGUUGAUUAUAUUUUGUUGGUUAUUAGGUGAAAUUUUUAUUUUCAUUAUUUUCUUAUUUAUAUUUGGAGGCUAUGAAAUUCUUUUAGUAGACUAGGAUUAGAUACCCUAUUAUUUUUGAAUGUUAAUAUUUAUUUGCCUGAGUAGUAUUAGUUAUGUUCUUGAAACUUAAAGAAUUUGGCGGUAUCUCAUUCCGUUCAGAGGAAUCUGUCUCGUUAUCGAUAGUCCACGUUGGACCUUACUUGGUUUAUUAUUAAGGUUUGUAUACCGCCGUUUAUUGAUUAUCUUUUUAGAGUUUAUUUAAUUUUCUUGUUUCUUUAUUUUGAUUUAUUUCAGGUCAAGGUGCAGCUUGUUUCUAAGUGAAUGAUGGAUUACAUUAAUAUUUGUUUUUGGAUUGUUUUGGUUUAAAAUACUGACAUGAAAUUGGAUUUGGUUGUAAUAAUUUGUAGACUGUUAUUAUGAUAAAUGGUUCUGGGAUAUGUACACAUCGCCCGUCGCUCUCGUUCAAAUUAUUGUUAAUGAGAUAAGUCGUAACAAAGUGGUCGUACCGGAAGGUGUGGCUGGAUUGGU
rnacentral:ncRNA from 1 species